rnacentral:lncRNA from 1 species
ACGAUGGCUCACGCCAUCGAAUUGGGAUGAGCCCGUCCGCUCGUUUUGGGCGGACGGGGUCAUCCCGGAUCUACACCAAAUAUUUCCCUAUGGGGAUGGACUCGUCCCGAUAUCUCCCAACCAAACACCACUGAAAAGGAGGACCGUCCCAAUUCAUCCUCGGAACCAAACACAAACACAUGCUUAGUUGCUAGGUCAACCAUGCAUGCUAUCAUGUCGGGGGCAAUCAUCUUAUAAUUUUUAGUUAGAAGAACUUGUUGUUCUCAAAGAGGAAGUCAAUCUGCUGGAUUAAACAAAAUAAAGUUGUGAGCGC